rnacentral:misc_RNA from 1 species
GAAAUUGGUAGUGAAAAACGAAGGGAAACAAUUCAUGGUAGUUGCACUAGUACUAUUGCUUCAAAAAAAUCAGAAGUUACACAAUUACAAAGCAAUAGAGGGCUUACUCAUUUUUCCCCUAAACCGGCCAUUAUGAGAAAAAGUGUGAAGUAAACUACUACUGAUGAAAAUAGUCAAGCUCAAAAGGAGCUAAGAGAGCGUAUUUAUGUUGCCAUAGCACAAUGAAUGUAUGACGUAGUAAUAGCUUUUAAUGUUGCGAAUUAUAAAAGCUUUGGGAAAAUGAUUCGAGCCAUUGGAAAUUGUGAGAGGGAAAUGAAAC